GACGUAGGGUGCAAGCGUUGUCCGGAUUUACUGGGCGUAAAGAGCGCGUAGGCGGCUCGUUAAGUGAGAAGUGAAAGCUCUUGGCUCAACCAAGAAACCGCUUUUCAUACUGGCGAGCUGGAGUGAUGCAGAGGUGGAUAGAAUUCCCGGUGUAGCGGUGAAAUGCGUUGAUAUCGGGAGGAAUACCCGUGGCGAAGGCGGUCCACUGGGCAUCAACUGACGCUGAGGCGCGAAAGCGUGGGUAGCAAACAGG
rnacentral:rRNA from 1 species